rnacentral:rRNA from 1 species
GAUGAACGCUGGCGGCGUGCUUAAUACAUGCAAGUCGAACGGAAAGGCCCUGCUUUUGUGGGGUGCUCGAGUGGCGAACGGGUGAGUAACACGUGAGUAACCUGCCCUUGACUUUGGGAUAACUUCAGGAAACUGGGGCUAAUACCGGAUAGGAGCUCCUGCUGCAUGGUGGGGGUUGGAAAGUUUCGGCGGUUGGGGAUGGACUCGCGGCUUAUCAGCUUGUUGGUGGGGUAGUGGCUUACCAAGGCUUUGACGGGUAGCCGGCCUGAGAGGGUGACCGGCCACAUUGGGACUGAGAUACGGCCCAGACUCCUACGGGAGGCAGCAGUGGGGAAUAUUGCACAAUGGGCGGAAGCCUGAUGCAGCAACGCCGCGUGCGGGAUGACGGCCUUCGGGUUGUAGACCGCUUUCGCCUGUGACGAAGCGUGAGUGACGGUAAUGGGUAAAGAAGCACCGGCUAACUACGUG